CAAGAUUGAGACUUAAAGGAAUUGACGGGUACCCGCACAAGUAGCGGAGCAUGUGGUUUAAGUCGAAGCAACGCGAAGAACCGUACCUAAGCUUGACAUCCCAAUGCCAUCUCCUUAAUCGGAGAGUUCCCUUCGGGGACAUCGGUGACAGGUGGUGCAUGGUUGUCGUCAGCUCGUGUCGUGAGAUGUUGGGUUCAGUCCCGCAACGAGCGCAACCCUAGUCUUUAGUUGACAUAAUUAAGUUAGGCACUCUAGAGAGACUGCCAGGGCUAACCUGGAGGAAGGUGGGGAUGACGUAAAAUCAUCAUGCCCCUUAUGNUUAGAGAUCAACACGUGAUACUAAGGGUAGUGAAGAGGGUUGCCAAGACGUCAGAUGUAGAUAAACAAACAAAG
rnacentral:rRNA from 1 species